AGAUAUAUAUUUAUAUAUAUUUUUAUAUAUAAAGUUGCUUGACUUGUCAGAUAGAUUUAAGUAUUUGAGUUAAAACAGGCCAUCUUUACACUAUGCCACGACCAAAUUAUAAAAUAACAUAGCGGCCCUUUGCUUCUCCAAGCUGUACUUCUUUUUUUGUGCAUUCAAUUGUAAAUUACAAUCUAGGAUCUUUUCUUGAUCAAUCUAGCACCAACAUUGUCAAAAAAUCAGUACAAAUUUAUGACAAGCUCCAUUCUAAAGAAUUUUUAGAAGUAGCCUUUAAUGCGCUUACUUUGUAAGG
rnacentral:lncRNA from 1 species